GACGAACGCUGGCGGCGUGCUUAACACAUGCAAGUCGAACGGAAAGGCCCUGCUUGCAGGGUACUCGAGUGGCAAACGGGUGAGUAACACGUGGGUGAUCUGCCCUGCACUUCGGGAUAAGCCUGGGAAGCUGGGUCUAAUACUGGAUAGGAGCCUAUUUUUAGUGUGAUGGUUGGUAAAGUUUUUUCGGUGUAGGAUGAGCUCGCGGCCUAUCAGCUUGUUGGUGGGGUAAUGGCCUACCAAGGCGGCGACGGGUGCCGGCCUGAGAGGGUGGACGGCCACAUUGGGACUGAGAUACGGCCCAG
rnacentral:rRNA from 1 species